rnacentral:rRNA from 1 species
GACGUAGGGCGCGAGCGUUGUCCGGAUUUAUUGGGCGUAAAGAGCGUGUAGGCGGCCAGGUAGGUCCGUUGUGAAAACUAGAGGCUCAACCUCUAGACGUCGAUGGAAACCAUCUGGCUAGAGUCCGGAAGAGGAGAGUGGAAUUCCUGGUGUAGCGGUGAAAUGCGCAGAUAUCAGGAAGAACACCCGUGGCGAAGGCGGCUCUCUGGGACGGUACUGACGCUGAGACGCGAAAGCGUGGGGAGCGAACAGG